rnacentral:rRNA from 1 species
UACGGAGGGAGCAAGCGUUACUCGGAAUUAUUGGGCGUAAAGGGCGCGUAGGCGAUUUGAAAAGUCUUGUGUGAAAGCCCCGAGCUUAACUCGGGAAGUGCACAAGAAACUGUUGAAUUUGAGUUCCGGAGAGGAAGGCAGAAUUCCCGGUGUAGCGGUGAAAUGCGUAGAUAUCGGGAGGAAUACCGGUGGCGAAGGCGGCAUCCUGGACCGACAUUGACGCUGAGGAGCGAAAGCUAGGGGAGCAAACGGG